rfam:Triticum aestivum genome assembly, contig: Triticum_aestivum_CS42_TGACv1_scaffold_001101_1AL
GAUGGCAGUGAAGAUUUGCAAAUAUUCAAGAUCAAUAGACCAAAUCACAGGUUUUCUCUCAGGAAUCGAUUUGUAUGCCAAAUAUCCUGCUGGACCGAGCCAUA